rnacentral:rRNA from 1 species
GAUGAACGCUGGCGGCGUGCCUAAUACAUGCAAGUCGAGCGAACAGAUGAGGAGCUUGCUCCUCUGACGUUAGCGGCGGACGGGUGAGUAACACGUGGAUAACCUACCUAUAAGACUGGGAUAACUUCGGGAAACCGGAGCUAAUACCGGAUAAUAUAUUGAACCGCAUGGUUCAAUAGUGAAAGACGGUUUUGCUGUCACUUAUAGAUGGAUCCGCGCCGCAUUAGCUAGUUGGUAAGGUAACGGCUUACCAAGGCAACGAUGCGUAGCCGACCUGAGAGGGUGAUCGGCCACCCUGGAACUGAGACACGGUCCAGACUCCUACGGUAGGCAGCAGUAGGGAAUCUUCCGCAAUGGGCGAAAGCCUGACAGAGCAACGCCGCGUGAGUGAUGAAGGUCUUCGGAUCGUAAAACUCUGUUAUUAGGGAAGAACAAAUGUGUAAGUAACUAUGCACGUCUUGACGGUACCUAAUCAGAAAGCCACGGCUAACUACGUG